UUUAACAUUUUGUAAAAAUAUAGAAAUAGAUUAACUUUUGACUUCCGAUAAGAAUAAAGUUAAAUUGUAAAAACACAAAUUAACAAAAGUUAACAGGAAAUACAUCAGGUUUUCUUGGUGAGCACGAAGGAGUAUUCAAUUCUUUUCUGCAAUAAACCGUUUUUGGUUUUAUUACAAAAAAAAAAAUACACUAUAACCGAAACCUGAGUCAAUUUAUUGAGGUACUCCUUGAAGCUGUCCACAUUAUUCAAUUCACAUAUGCAUAAUUGGAAGUGACUUUAGCAAAAAUGUUUCCGAUCAAAUUACAUUUGCAGUUGAAUUUAUAUUUUGUUAAAAAUAAAAACGCAGAGCAAUAAACAGACUGGAAGACAAAGAACAAAUAAAAAGCUACUACAUAGAUUUAUUUCAAAAAUGUUAAAAUAAAUCAAAUCAAAGAAACAUAAAUAUCACCAUGGGACAAAAA